UUCGUUAUUAACUGACCGCACUUCUCUUGUUUUUUCGUUGACUUUAGAUAAUUGCAAGAAACAAAGAUUGAAAUAUAUAACUAUGGGAGUGUACGGGAGAUAAUGUGUUUUAAAACGUCUAAAAUAAUGUCUAUAAAAUUGUUAUGGCAAAUUUUAGUAUCCGCAAUUCCGUUUGCGAAGAAAUGUGACCACGCAGAGAAUUUCUUCGAUGAUUUUAUUGUUCGAGUAUUUUGUAAACAUUAUAUAGACACGUUUGGAGGAGGGUACGUGAGAUUUAUUUGAUUUUUACCACAACUUGAUAUGGAGUGAGAAGAUGUUGGUCAAGAUAAUACAAAACGCGGUCGCGAAGAAUGUUAAUGGGGACCUAUUGCAGUUUUGUAUGCAGGAAGUGUGGCGCGUCCUGUCUACCGUUGCGGUCCGGCGCCUGUCGAAGAGAAAAAUGGAGGAAAAAAAAGAAGAAGAAGAAGAACAUCAACAACAACAAAAAACUGGAGAGCAAUGGGAUUUUUGCGUGCAAUGAAAUCUGUUUCAUGAAGGCUCACAUAUGAGAAUUGUUGAGUACCUGGUUUUUUUUUUAUCUCGGGAAGGAUCGCGGAGCAAACAUUGGAUCUGUUUCUCUGAAGAAGUAAGACUCGACUGAGGGUAAAAUGAUCAAGUAUUUAAAUGCGGAAGUACUGAACAGCGACUUACAAAAAAGAACAAUGACAAAACGAUUGGAUUCACUUGGACAAAAUUUUGGAAUUGGAACAAUGGAAUAUUAUUCGAAAUUCUUAAUUAUCGUAACGUAAAGGUCAAGAGUUUAAUAAGUCUUUGAAAUUCCGUAUUCGAUAUUGAAUAUAGAGCUUCUUUUUCACGGAGAUAACAUCAAUAACAAUUUGUAAAGGCGCAGUGGUCAAUAAAAUUUUUAGAAGGAUACAUAGAGAGAGAGAGAGAGAUAAGAAAAGAGGAAACGAGAUUUUUUUCUCUCUUUUCAAAUAGUAAUUAAAUAGAAUGAAUGAUGGAUAGUCUUUGAGACAAAGUAUAAUAUAAAUUGAAAUAAAAUGCAGGUCUUCUUUUCGAUAAAAAAAAAAAAUAUUACGAGACGAAGAUUGUUUUUUUCAAGUACUCGAAGACAUCUCGAUAAGGUGCGAUGGAGGAAAAUUAGAAAGUGGAAAAUUAAGUGUAGAUAAAAAUAGUCGGAUGUCUUGUCGUAUAGAUUUAUAGAGAUAUCAAUGCGUGUUUUAUCGGCAGCAAAAAAAAAGAUUGUUUUUUUUUCUUCUUUCAAUGCUUGAUUUGUGAGAAACAUUUUUCAACCCUUGGAAGAAAUAAGAAAAGUUAUUCACGAACUA